ensembl:lncRNA
CAUAAACUAGGGCCGCGGGCCGGUGCCCCGGUCUUCAGCCACCAGUGUGCAGGAGCAGCAGCAGUGGCAAGAGUUGAGCCCAGUCCAGCAAGCUAACGCUACAUGGCGCUAGCUGGCAGCGUCGUGCAGCUUUCAGAGUGCCAAAUCAAGACGCCGCACUCAACCGACUUCCCGCUCGAAGGAACCGUGUCUUUGGAAAGAGGCUCGACACGACUCGACUCGACUCAGCUCGCAUUUUUUGCGUUUCCACCGCAAAAACAUAGUAUCUGGUACCUGAAGUGGCUGCUUUUUUUAGUACUGCCUCGCUCUAGGUUCCAAGCGAGCUGAGCCGAUGCUAAAAGGUGACGUCGGCA